rnacentral:lncRNA from 1 species
AUACAAUCAAUCCGCCUUUUAUUUACCUUCGUUUUUAGUAGUUCACAAAAAUCCAAAAAUUUGUACGUAAUACUCUUUGAAGAAGUUAAAGAACCUACAACAGAGGCACAUUGUUCAUUCCUCAGCAUAAUCACUUGAAGAAAAAAAGGAAUGAUUGUCGAGAGUUGUUAUUUGAAUCAUUGGGUAACUUUCAAGUUCAACAAUAAAGGGAGCCAUUCAUUUAAUUCUUGCGGGCACCAAAAAUCUCAAGGUCAAUCAUGUUUGUUGGUGUGGUGGCGUUGUCGGCAUUCAUGUUAUAAUGGUUUGUGCAUACAUCAUUUAUCAAAUGAAUCUAAAAAAUAGAUUUUUAUUUAUAAUAGUGAAUGGAGGGUGUAAGCUGUAAAAUAAUUUUUGAUGUAUAUUUUAUACAUAGCCUUUAUGUUGUUUGUUUUAAUAACAAAAUUAACCGAAUCAUUUUAGCUUUAUUAACUAAACCGGUUAUUUAGUUGAAGAGCCGUUAUUCCUUUGUAUCAAGUUGAUACAAAGCAAUAAAAUUACUUCUU